rnacentral:rRNA from 1 species
AUUGAACGCUGGCGGCAGGCCUAACACAUGCAAGUCGAACGCGUGGCGGACGGGUGAGUAAUGUCUGGGAAACUGCCCGAUGGAGGGGGAUCACUACUGGAAACGGUAGCGAAUACCGCAUACCAUCGGAUGUGCGCAGAUGGGAUUGGCUAGUAGGUGGGGUAACGGCUCACCUAGGCGACGAUCCGUAGCUGGUCUGAGAGGAUGACCAGCCACACUGGGACUGAGACACGGUCCAGACUCCUACGGGAGGCAGCAGUGGGGAAUAUUGGACAAGGGGCGCAAGCCUGAUGCAGCAAUGCGGCGUGUGUGAAGAAGGCCUUCGGGUUGUAAAGUACUGUCAGCGGGGAGGCGGUACUCGCAGAAGAAGCACCGGCUAACUCCGUGCCAGCAGCCGCGGUAAUAC